rnacentral:rRNA from 1 species
CCUACGGGUGGCUGCAGUGGGGAAUAUUGGGCAAUGGGCGCAAGCCUGACCCAGCAACGCCGCGUGAGUGAAGAAGGCUUUCGGGUUGUAAACUUCUAUCAGGAGGGAAGAACUGACGACGUUACCUCUUGAAUAAGCUACCGCUAACUACGUGCCAGCAUCCGCGGUAAUACGUAGGGGGCAAGCGUCGUCCGGAUUUACUGGGUGUAAAGGGCGUGCAGACGGGAGGGCAAGUCUGAGGUGAAAUCCCGCGGCUUAACCGCGGAACUGCAUUUGAAACUGUUUUGCUUGAGUACAGGAGAGGUCAGCGGAAUUCCUAGUGUAGCGGUGAAAUGCGUAGAUAUAAGGAAGAACACCAGUGGCGAAGGCGGAUGACUGGACGGCAACUGACGGUGAGGCGCGAAAGCGUGGGGAGCAAACAGGAUUAGAUACCCUUGUAGUC